UCUCCAAGAAUUGCCUCAAAACUUUUCUCAAGGAUUCUUUCCUUAAUAAUUCCUACAGAAAUUUUUCAAAAGAUUUCUGAAGGUGUUCUCCAACUAUUUGGAAACUGCUCCAAAGAAAAUAAGGUUUGUUUUCAAUAUUCCAUCUGGAACUUUAUCAUAUCUUCCAGAAUUCCUCCAAGAGUUUCUUUACGAGCUUUUCCAAGGAUUCUUUUGGUAAGUGCAGAAUAAGCAUAAUGUUAAAAUACACAUUCAGCCAUUCCAUAGAAAAACGAUAUAGUGCAACUCCGAUUGCUGUGAAAAGACCAAGAAUCACUCAAAAAAGCAAUACAAGGCAUAGUUUUACAAGAAUUUACAAUUCAGGCAAUUUCAGAGCAGCUUGUAUCAAAUUAAAUGACUCUCUGUACUCAAAAAAUCAUAUCUCGAAAACUAAAAAACAUGCAUGUUUUUUUGAUAUGUUACGCCAAAUUUUCUGAAUUUUCUGAUAAAAAUAUAAAACCAGAAAACCCCUUUGGUCCCGAGACCUUUGAAAACAUGGAAAAACUAAUAUAUUUGCAUAUUGUUUGCACAAAAACAUAAUUUAGCCCAUACGCCGUAUUUUUCCUGAAAACUAGAAUUCAAUAGCUUGUAACCUUCACAUCAUCAUACCGACCUUAGUUCGCGAGAGCUUGAUUGUUGCUCCUAAUGUCUACCGUUCAAAAUAAAAGUAUAGGUCAUCUUACCAUGUGAAAACCACUACACUACAACACACCACAACAGAACAUUUCAACUCUCUGAGUAUACCAAAUGGCUGAUACCAAUCUAGUCAUUUAACGCAGAUAUCUAUUGACCACACAAGGUAUUGGGAGACAUCUAUCUCCUACGGAGCUUGGGCUUGAGAGCGCAGAGGGUCAAGUACGAAGGAGGCUAUCUAUCUGCACAUGGAUAAGGAGGAGGAUGACAUCGACCGUAUCUCCAUAAUAUGGUUUUGUAAACCCUAACCAUAAUCGAUCCUCUCUUAACCUGAAAUCUCACGAUCUCUUCUCUAUCCAUUGCUCAUUACCGCCACCCAUGUAUGAUAUGAAUAUACGACCACGAAGAUCUACCUACGGCUACAUAUUGGCACUGCUCUGAAGUUGAAAUCAGAAGUCGGUUAAUUUCUAAGCAGGCAAGUCUAGCUAGCCAAAGUUUCUUUUAUUCGCCUGACCGGCCAUAAAAUCAAAGCAAAGCAAAGUGCUAAUAGUUGGUGGAUGCGGUUCAUUGUUGUGUGCUUUUAAAUGCCCAUCGGCAUAGAUCCGCUGAGGAAAUCAUGUUAAGGAGCAUGAGCAGUACGAUGGAGUAGUGCGUUAGUGAUUGCUGGAGAUCGGCCUUUCGUUUCGACCCAAAUUCAAUGGCUCCAUGAGUCAUCAUGGUGUGGUUCAGUGCCUUGGUGUACCACCAGGCCUGGAAGUGUUUUCUGCUGCGGAGUUACUGGCAUGGAGCCGGUGUGUCCUUCUGUCCGGACGGAGUCCUGCUUUCCUGUCGCCGUGGGAUACACUAGGCCACUGACACCACACAACACUAGGCUUAAGUCCUAACGUAGUUUGUAAGUCAGCAAAAUAGACGUAAGUACAAAAACAUUUAAUAAACCCAUUUACUCAUUUCUUGCAUGUAAAUUUAUGCUUUUAUAUUGGUACGGAAUUGACUCGGAUAGAUUGUUUCAUGAUGGUUCCCCAUUCGAACCUUGGUCUUAGAGGGAAAGAUAAAUGAGUCAAGGUCACUACUUCCUCUUCGUACCAUCUUUGUCUCCAUCUCAUGCGACCUUUCUUUAGGGAGGUGACAAGCUUUCAAACAAAAAAAAUAAAAUCGGUUAACUGAUGC